rnacentral:rRNA from 1 species
GGGGAAUCUUGGACAAUGGGCGCAAGCCUGAUCCAGCCAUGCCGCGUGAGUGAUGAAGGCCUUAGGGUCGUAAAGCUCUUUCGCCAGGGAUGAUAAUGACAGUACCUGGUAAAGAAACCCCGGCUAACUCCGUGCCAGCAGCCGCGGUAAUACGGAGGGGGUUAGCGUUGUUCGGAAUUACUGGGCGUAAAGCGCGCGUAGGCGGGUUGUUAAGUUAGAGGUGAAAUCCCGGGGCUCAACCCCGGAACUGCCUUUAAUACUGGCAACCUAGAGUUCGAGAGAGGUGAGUGGAAUUCCGAGUGUAGAGGUGAAAUUCGUAGAUAUUCGGAGGAACACCAGUGGCGAAGGCGGCUCACUGGCUCGAUACUGACGCUGAGGUGCGAAAGUGUGGGGAGCAAACAGG